AGUGAACGCUGGCGGCAUGCCUAACACAUGCAAGUCGAACGACAGCACAGGAAGCUUUUUCUCUUACCGUUGGCGAGGGGCGGAUGGGUGAGACGUACAUCACAAUCUACUUUUUCUGGGAUGACAACGUGAGGAAACAUACGCUAAUACCUCAUAUGAUCAACGGCUUAGAUCAGUAGAUCUUCAGAGCUUUCGCGAUUCAAUUAGCUGAUGUCGGAUUAGCUAGUUGGCAUGGUAAAGGCACACCAAGGCAACGAUCCGUAGCCGAUCUGAGAGGAUGAUCAGCCACACUGGAACUGAGACACGGUCCAGACUCCUACGGGAGGCAGCAGUGGGGAAUAUUGCACAAUGGGCGAAAGCCUGACCGAGCCACACCGCGUGGGUGAAGAAGGCCUUCGGGUUGUAAAGCCCUUUUAUUAGGAAAGAACAGCUGUGGGUGAAUAUCUGCCUGUUCUGACGGUACCCAAACAGUAAGCCCCGGCUAACUUCGUG
rnacentral:rRNA from 1 species